AAUAUUCAUGCAUAUAUUAAAACUUUUGAAUGUGUGUAUCACUUGUAACACCAGAUUAUAUUUGUAGUUUAAAGUUUGGUGAAUUCACUGUCUAGUUAGCCAUUUAAAAUUUCUGAAAUAAGUAUAUUUGCAUUCUUGCUGAUCACUUUCACUUCUUUAAUCAGAGAAAUGUAUAGUUGGUUUGGAAUGAUUACAUUUUUAGUUAAUUAUCUUUACUGCCAUUCUGUGCCUAUUAACACUUGAACUACCAGAAGCUUUCUGACAUGUGUCUACACAUCAGGUUCUAGAGCUGAGUUACUCAAGAAUAUAUUUCUUACUACUUACCAGUGAUUAUAUUUAUUAGUGAGUUAUCUAACAUUCCAUUUGUUCCAUCUUCAUUACCUGUAAGAGGGAUUAUGAGACUUUAAGAAAUUACUUUUUUAAUUUUUUUUUUUUUUUGCUGCAUUCCUUUCCAACAUAAUACAUUCUUUCUGAGGGCUGAGUCUCUUGUCUUGUCAUGGAACUAUCUGAAGUUAUUGUGUUAUUUUUCUAAAACAUGGGCUAUUUUAGUAUACUCCAACUCAUGGAUUUUUAAAGGCUACGUGACCAAUGACAAAUUUACAUGAAAUCCAGAUCAUGACUAAUGUCUUGUACUAAAAGAGUUGUUCUAAACAGUUGCUAGUGAACUAGUAACCUCUGUAUUUGAUUAUCCCAUAGCUGCCCAUUGUCGGCUGUUCAGAUUUUUGUGCUGUAAAUAGCAGUUAUUUUUUUUUCUACCCUUCCUUUCUUUCUGCCUGCAAUAAUUGACUACUUUUUGUUGCUGUUGUUUCAGAGCGGAACAGUCUACACAAUAAGCAAGAGUGGAUGUGCACCAGGAGGUGCUGCCAACGCAUAUGGCCAACAUGCUUGUAAAGAUAGUGCAUCUUCAUAUGGCAGUCUUACCUAUGGCCAGGUAACUAUGUGCUGUCCAACACAUUUUCAUUUUCAGCUUAAUAAGC
rnacentral:lncRNA from 1 species